rnacentral:rRNA from 1 species
UACCAUAUAGUAUAUUUGAAUGGCAUCGUUUGAAUAUUAAAGAUUUAUCGGUAAAAGAUGAGCAUGCGUCCCAUUAGUUAGUUAGUGUGGCAACGGCAUACCAAGACGAUGAUGGGUAGGGGUCCUGAGAGGGAGAUCCCCCACACUGGUACUGAGACACGGACCAGAUUCCUACGGGAGGCAGCAGUGAGGAAUAUUGGUCAAUGGAGGCAACUCUGAACCAGCCAUGCCGCGUGCAGGAUGACGGUCCUAUGGAUUGUAAACUGCUUUUGUACGGGAAGAAAACAAACUACGAGUAGUUAAUUGACGGUACCGUAAGAAUAAGGAUCGGCUAACUCCGUGUCAGCAGCCGCGGUAAUACGGAGGAUCCAAGCGUUAUCCGGAAUCAUUGGGUUUUAAAGGGUCCCGUAGGCGGCCUUAUAAGUCAGUGGUGAAAGUUUUUGGCUUAACCAAAAAAUUGCCAUUGAUACUGUAGGGCUUGAAUAUCUGUGAAGUAACUAGAAUAUGUAGUGUAGCGGUGAAAUGCUUAGAUAUUACAUGGAAUACCGAUUGCGAAGGCAGGUUACUAACAGAUGAUUGACGCUGAUGGACGAAAGCGUGGGUAGCGAACAGGAUUAGAUACCCUGGUAGUCCACGCCGUAAACGAUGGAUACUAGCUGUUUGGUUUUCGGACUGAGUGGCUAAGCGAAAGUGAUAAGUAUCCCACCUGGGGAGUACGGUCGCAAGACUGAAACUCAAAGGAAUUGACGGGGGGCCCGCCCNCCCCGNCGGAGCAUGUGGUUUAUUUCCAUGAUACGCGAGGAACCUUACCAGGGCUUAAAUGUAGAUUGAACAGAUUUGGAAC